rnacentral:lncRNA from 1 species
GGCAACCUGGGUUCCGGAAGCCGGAGAGCUGGAGCUUUGAAGCCACCCCGGUCAAAGGAUGCUGAGUCCGGAGCGCCUAGCCCUACCGGACUACGAGUAUCUGGCUCAGCGACAUGUCCUCACCUACAUGGAGGAUGCAGUGUGCCAGCUGCUAGAAAACAGGGAAGAUAUUAGCCAAUAUGGAAUUGCCAGGUUCUUCACUGAAUAGUAAGUACAUGAAUGUUGUACUAAUACAGUGAACCCAGAGGAGGCGCUUGGAAGCAGGCAGGAUACUUGAGGAACAGAGCAGGACAAUGCUGAUUAGGUAGUGGCAGUGAAUGUUUAGUUUUGGUAGGUUGGUUGUGGGCCGCCCAAACAUGUUUUGGAGCAUGCCUUUGGUGCAGCUAGUUUGUCCAGUGAUGUCUCAUGAAUAGUUUUGAUUACAGUAGCUUAACAACUGCUUGUUUGAUCUAUUAGAUCUAUUUCUGUAGGUUUCUCUUUUAACUUUCUCCUUUAUUCAAAAUAUUCACUUUGAUUUCCUUUCGCUGAUGUUCAUCUAGCCUGUUUUUUUUCAUGGCUGGCUUUUCUCAUGGAAUCUAGGCUAAUGUUCCUCUGCAGUUUUCUUUCUACAGGAUGCUGUGCCAAUCACUUAAUGAUUUAAGUGUAUUUCUAAUCAGCAAAGUGAAGAGACAACCCACAGAAUGGGAGAAAGUAUUUGCAAACUACCCAUCUGACAAGGGAUUAAUAACCAGAAUAUAUAAGGAGCUCAAAUAUCUCUAUAGGAAAACAUC